UUAUUGCUGAGAGUAUUCUACUGUAUGUAUAUACCACAUUUUAUUUAUUCACCAGUUUAUGGACACUUGGAUUAUGUUCACUUUUAGGUUAUUAUGAAUCAUGCUGCUAUGAACAUUUGUGUGCAAAUCUUUGUGUGGACAUAUGUUGUCAUUUCUCUUGGUUAGAUACAUAGGACUGAAAUUGCUUGGUCAUAUGGUAAAUUUAUGUUUAAUAUUUAAGAAACUAUCAAACUUUUUUCCAAAGCAUCUAUACUAUUUUACAUUCCCACCAGCACUGAAAAUGUUCCUAACUCUCCAUGUCCUGGAAUGUUGACUAUUAUGUCUUUUUUAUUAUGGCGAUUCUAGUAUGUAUGAUAUAAAUCUCCUUAUGCUUUUGAUUUGCAUUUCCCUAAUAACUAAUAAUGUGGACCAUCUUUUUUCUGCAGUUAUUAGCUAGUCAUUGAUUUUUUUUAAUGUUUAUUCCUAUCUUUAAUCCUUUUUUAAUCGUGUUGUCAUCUUAUUGAAUUGUAAGAUAUUUUUGUAUAUUCAGGAUACAGGUCCUUUAUCAGGUAUAGAAUUUGCAAAUAUUUUCUCCCAGCCUGUGGUGUGUCUUUUUAUUUUCUUAAUGAUGUGUUUUGAAGCACAAAAGUGUUGAAUUUGAUGAAGUCCAAAAUAAAAGUUCUUUUCUAUUAUGAGUCAUACUUUUGGUAUUGUAUCUAGGAAAUCUUUGCUUAACCUAAGGUUUUGAAGAUUUUCUCCUAAAAGUUUUAUAUUUUAGCUUUUACAUUUAGGUCUCUCAUCCAUUUUAAGGCAAUUUUUGUGUAUGAUGUGAGGUCUGAGUUCACCUUUUUGCGUGUGGAGAUGCAAUUUUCUCAGUAUUAUUUGUUAAAAAUACCGAUGUUUCUGCUGUUAGAUUUCCUUGACAUCAUUGCCAAAAAUCAGCUGACCAUAAAUAUAACAGUUUAUUUAUCUUAAUUCGAUUCUAUCUUUAUGUCUAUCCUUAUGCCUAUGGUUACUGCCGAUUUUGAUUAUUGUGAUAUUCUGGUUAUCUAAAGAGAAUCAGUGCAAAUGGGCUCAAGACAUUGAACUGUAUUUUUUUUAAAAACAAUUCCUCCCCACAAAAGGAAAUAGAAAAAAUGCGGUAAUCUAAGAAAUUAUUUGCAUGAAAGGAGAACCCUGUUUGUGGGGCUACGAUGGCUGUCAUGCAGAGAAGCCCUGCUGUAUCAAGUGAAAGCCCAAAGAAAAUGGGAGACUUGUAUUAAACAAGGGAGCGCUCGGGGGAGGGGAAGAGAGCGUGGGAGAACUGAGCCAGGUGGUCAGUUAGGGAAAACAUCUAUCUUCCUUACCUGCCCAAACUCAUCAAAGAAUGUCAACUUGGAACUCAUUUAGUAAGAACCUCUAAUUUUUUAAAUGAAAAAGUCUCUAAAAGAUUGUGAUUUAUAAAGAAAAAACCUCUCCUUGUUUUUCUAGGGGUAAAAAAGGCAAAAACAAAGCUACUUUGAUACAGGAGACUGGCUUCUAGCUCUCCUGUCUUCUCACUCUUUCCAUUCUUUCUCUAAUUUAUAAUAUGUCAGGGAUCUGUCAUUUUGCUCUAGAUACAGACAGAACCAGCCUCUAUGAUUCUUUCUAAAAUGGAUAUAGUAUCAACAACACAAUUGCUGUUUAAAAUGACAACAAUGUAGCAAGCCUAAUUUCCGACAUGAUUUAGCACAACAUGCAAAGGAGAAGGAAGACAUCUGGACAUUACUGAAGUCCCUUGAGAUGUUUCCUGAAGGGUCCCCUUUACCAAAUUAUGUGUUGUAGAACAUGAGUAUUGAGAUUGCUUCCUCAAAGGGAGUACUGUAUUUUUAACUUCUCAGAGACAAAUAAGAGGAGAAGCUCAUGGAAGAAAUAUAAGCUGACUAUAUCGUAUAAAAGCACUUUUUCUGGAGUCCUGCUGAGAAGAUGUGGCCAUAACUCCUAAUGUACUUUGCCUGGAGUAGCCUGGGAUCCCUGGGACUUCUUGAAGGAUAAAAAUGAGCUAUAAUUACUUUGGGAGCCUUCCUUAUUUGUGGGUAAAAUGAAUUCCACAUUGCCAAACACUAUAAUCCAAGUCCCUUUCUCAUUCUACUAGGUUAAGUAAAAUAAUAUGACCUCUAGAUUCAGAAACAUAUUACAAUGAGCAUGUGACAACACAUUGGUACCGGGUGAUGUCCAAAAAUUUUGGCUUCUCUAUCAUACCAGCCACUCCCUGAAGAAGGGCACUUUCAGUAGAACUAGGACAUGGGACAGGUAAGUUCUGAUGAAUGGCAAAGGAGACACGAACAGGGUGGAAUGCACAGCACUUAUGCAAAAGCUUCAGAUCUCAACAUGUGAAAAUGAAUUGACCUUUCAGAAUGGUAACCCAUGUGGAUUUUAUAUUAAAUUUCCUUCCACAUAACCAAGUUAUACCAACUAUCACCCUGAGUACAGAACAGGAAUUUGGUGGAUCUCAGCUGAGUACUACUGUCCUGAAUCUGACUCACAUGCCAAUCAAACAAGAAGCCCCUUCCACCCCUUAUACCAUACCACCAAGACAGGUGCUGGAAGACAGGUAGAAACCCCAAGCCCAGGACUGGCACAGGACGAAAGAUGGGGGAAACUGUGUCUCCGCACCCAUUCACCUGCUUUAGACACCCCCUCUUUUUGUUUUCCUCUCUUCCUUGCUGCCCCUAGAGCCCUGCAGUGGCUGCUUUUUCACUCAGUGUCUCCUCCUAGAUCUGUACACUCAGAAAACACCUUCCUCAUUGCCUACCUCUUCCUCAAAACAAACCCAUCCACCUGUUCUAAUGGGCUCUCCAAGGAGAAGGCAGCAAUCCACUCACACAGGCUGCUAAAGACUGACUGUGUUAAGGAUUCUAAUGGGCAAGUCUCUAAAACACUACAGAGGUGAUAUUAGUUGACAGAAGCUUGUUGGAAAAGGAUUUAGAGGCUAACAAGGGCUUUCAAAAUCACACAGCUUUGUGGCCCGAAACCCCCUCCACCUACACUCCAUAGCCUCUCCCUCUCUCCUUGCAGAAGCCCAGAGAAGCCAGGCUGGCCCAGGCCACAUGCAUGAGGGAACAAUCCUGAUGCCUCUUUAGCCUUGUUCUGCAUGAUUAAUUGAGGUUAUUGCAUUGAGACUCUUGUCUGAUUGUGAAAAAAAUUAUCCCAAGGUGGCCUCAGAUUCUUUGGUUAGUCAUUGCCAUGCCUUAGGGCUCUUGUGAGCCCUGGACACACAGCGACAACAACCAGCCACCGGCUGCCUUCUGCUCUGUGGCUCAGAUACUUUGUUCGGACCAUGCUGUGCUCCCAGCUUGGCUUCUGUUCCAUGGAAACUGUGAAGUGCUUAUUGUCCUGGGGCUGGUUGGGACUCAGGAAAGCUGUACGGGAUGAGAGCUGUGCAGGACGAGAGCUGUGCUGGAGGGUAGGCUGCUUGCAGGAUUUAGGGAGGAGGAGUGGAGCUGCUGUCAGACCCCAAGUUCUGGUGGGGCUUCCCAGACCUUUCCUUACUCCAGGGAUCCAAGAAAGGGCUUAAGGGAAGAGUUGGUUGUGGAAAAAAUAUACAGAGGAGCCCUGUGGUGACACAAGGCAUGGUGGGGUGGAUGGGCAGGGAUGGGGUAAGGCCAAGGAAGCCUGAGUAGACCUGGCUUUGGCUUGUGAGCCAAGCUCAUUAGCAGCAAUUUCUGGAAACUAACAAGAAAAAAGUAUUUAGCAACUGUCAUGAAAAGACUCAAAUAACUUUUGAAAAUAGAGUAUUUUCCCCCUGAUUAUAAAACUUCCAUGUUUACUGUAGCAAACAUAGAAAACACAAAAAUCACCAAUGAAAAGACAAAAAUUACCCAAACAGGGGUAACUGCUGUUAAUCUGUUAACAUUUGGUAUGCAUUUUCUGAGCUCUUUUUUUCCUUAUACAUAUAGAAAUCAUAUAUGUGUAUAUACACACUUUUUUAACUAAAGGAGGAAUCAUAUUUUAUUACAUCCUGCCUUUUCCACUCAGCAUUAUAUAUUUUUCUAUAACAUGAUUUUAAUUGCUGAACAUUAUUCCGUCUUUUUCCUGUACCACAAUUUACUCAAUCAAACCCCUAUUGUUGGACAUUUAUGUUGUCUCUAAUUUUUCCUAAUUAUACAUUUUGCACAUAAGUCUUUGCUCACCUUCAUAAUUAUAAUCCUUAAAAUACAUUUCUAGAGAGGAAUAUGCACAUUAAAUUUUUAUACAUACUGUCAUAUUUUCUUCCAAGAAGACUGUUCUAAUUUAUAUUUCCACCAGCAGUAUAUGAAAUGUAUCUUUGUCCUUGAAGCCUAACACUGGGUAGACUAUAUCUUUGUGAAUCUUUGUCAAGGUAAGAAACACAAAGUUCUAUCUCUUUAUUUUAAUUUCAAUCUUUUUCCUUAUUAAUGUGAUUUGGUAUAUUGCCAAUAAGUGGGGUCUUUCUAAUUUUAAUUGCUCUAGAAGAUCUAUUUAUAUAUUGGAAUCUCUUCUUUUUGUUUUAUAUAAUGCAAAUAUAUUUCUAAUUUGUCUUUUCCUUUUAAUUUUGUUUUAUAAUUAUUUGAAGUCAUAUAGUCAAAUGUAUUGAUCUUUUUACUUUAGAGUGUCGAUGCUUGAUGCUAUUUAGGAAGAUUGCUUCCAUCAUGGGAUAUAAUGGUCAUUUUUUGCCUAAAAUUUAGAAGUAAUAUUUUAAUUUUACUAGAAACUCUUUAAUCCAUUUAUACUUUGGGGACACAUGGUCUAAAGUAGGAAAUUUAACUUCCUUCAUCUUCCCGCAGAGGUUAAUCUAUUUUCCAGUAUCAUUUAUUGAAUAAUAGAGUCAUCCUUCAUCAAUAUAAAAUGCUACCUUGUUGAUAUAUUAAGUACUUAUGCAUGAACACUAUUUCUGGAUGCUUUAUAUAAUUUCAUUGAUCUAUCUGUAGAAUUCUGAAGCAAUACUACACGACUUUAAUGAUCAUAAAUUUAUUCUACCCUUAUAUUUAUGUAUCCUUUUUUCUUCUCAAUGUCAGUUUGUUAGUGUUUGCUUCUUUUUUACUGAAUCCUUUUUCUCUUUAUUUUGGUAUUUUGGCUUUGUUUAUAAUGUGUUCAGAGAAUUCUUAGUAUACGUUCCCUUCCCCCUUUAUUUAAAAAUACAUUUAAUAUUAUAAAUUUGCUUCUGAUUACAACAUUGCUUCCAUACUAUAGAUUUUAAAAUAUAAUAUCCUAAUUAUUAUUGUUUCCUAAGUAUUCUUUAAUUAUAGUUUUGACUUUUUCUUUGUCCCAAGAGGUAUCUUUAAAAGCACCUUUGGAUAAUCAAGUAGUAGUUUGAAAUUUUCAUACUUUUAUUUCAAAUAAAAUAUAAGAUAUCUUGCUUGGAAAACUUACUGCUGUUUUCUCUGUGAUGUAAAGCAUGUCAAUGAUCUGUCAAUGGGGUCCAGAAGUCAAAUGAUAUAAAAUGAGCCAUAUCAAUUAUAUUUAUCAAAUUCUCUUUCUCCUUAUUUGCUUUUUUGCCCCUGAUCUGUCAAAAAUUUAUUAGAGUUUUUCCCAACUAUUGUUCUGUACAUCAUUUCGUAUGUUCUAGGCUUUUGCUUUAUGUAUUUUGAUGCUGUGUUAUUCUGUAACUCACAUGUUACUGUAUCUAAGAAAAAUAUCACCAGUAAUGGGACAAAUUAUGUACCACCUGAUAAGAUGCAAUCAGAGCAUCAAUUCUGUGUUGUUUCUGCCAAAAUAUAUAAUCUCAUAUAAUCAUGAGGAAAUUCCAGAUGAACCUUAAGUUGAAGGAUAUUCUGCAAAAUAACUGGCUUGUAAUCUUAAGAUCCCAACCCUUAAAGUCACUAAGGUCAAGGAAAGACUGACAAAUUGUGCCAGAUUGAUAGGGAUUAAAAGACAUGACAAUUCAUCUAACACACCAUCCUGAAUUGGAUCCUUUUACAAUUAAGAACACUACUGGGACAAUUGGUGAAACUUGAAUGGGGUCUGUGGAUUAGAUGGUAGUAAUGUAUCAACGUGCAUGUCUCAGUGUUCAUGUUGGUACUGUGGUUAUGUAGGGAAUAUAUCCUUUUUUUGAAGAAAUUACAAACUAAAGUAUCUGGGGAUGGUGGUACAUCACGUCAGCAACUUACUUCCAAAAGGCUUAGGGAAAAAAGAGUUCUUGGUACUUUUGAAGCUUUCCUAUAUGUUUGAAAUUAUUUUAAAAAUAUUAAAUUAAUAUGAAUAUAUUCUGAGUCAUCUGGACCUCCUCUUUACCCCAAAUCUUGCCAUAUAAUUGGUCUUUACUGCCAUUGGUGCCAAUUAGCAUCACUAUAAGUGGUGGUGUUUGGCUUUUGAAUGUGUUAGUUAACAUAUUUGAGUGCUCUGUGUCCAGAGGGGCUCAGCUAGCAACCUGAGCAGUGAAGUAGUGCAAAAUUGGGAGAAGUGGGGAGAGGGAGCAGCAAGGGCUUGUAACAGAACUUCCUGGAGACACGCAGAGCAAGGAAGUAUUGAUAGUCCCCAGGUUGCAGUUGGAGGCUGAAAUCUGGUUCACAAUGGAAUAGAAUGAAUUCUGCUGAAAGCAGUGACCACUUUGCCUCAUUUUUUUUUUUCAGGGGUGAGACAAAAUGUGCCAUGAGUGAUGGCCUUUGGUGAUCUACAGACAUCCCUGGCUCUAGCAAUCAUUUGUGUAGGGAGCUUGUAAAAGGCUUUGAAGCUAGAAGGCAAAGCCUGAACACUGAGGAUUCUUUUUCUUAAAUCAUUUUAUUCUAUGACUCGAAAAACAAAAUCCCGCUUGAGCAGAGAGCAACAGUCAAGGCUGCCAAACUCCACUUGUGGUAACUUUUUUUUUUUUUUAAACAGCAGUUAAAAAAAUAUGUGGACUGCAAAAUGUGUACAAGCCAAAGCACAAAAAGACAAUGGACAUGACAUUUAGGCAGGAGGUGGGGGAAAUGCAAAAGGGACUUCCUCUGGAGCAGUAACAAUUAGCCCCAUUAGCUUGUGCAUAACCCAUAAAUGUAAGGUACAGGGAAAUGGUGGGAGCGAAUCAUUGUGGUGCCCCUGGGAACAUCUCUCUAGGCUGGAACCAUCUCACUAACCGGAUGUAAAAAGAUCAUAUGGUGUGUGUCUUUCAGUGGCAAUUAACCUCAAUUAUUAUCCUAUAGUCCAUAAAAACAGCUGCAUGGAACAGGGUCUGUGAGGGAUCCGUAUCUAGGUCUGGAAUCUCCUCACAGUUCUCCAAGAGAGUGACUAUGUUUGGGGCAUUUUCAGACAUGCUAUAAAUCCUAACUGGCAUUGUUUGCUCCCAGCGAUAAAAGAAAGGGUAGCAGGUGUGCCUCCCAACCAACCCUUUAUUGCCUGGGCAUGUGACAGCAUUUUGCGGCACCUCAGUAAUGAGCCAGAGAAGAAGGAAAGGCAGAUGAAUUUGCCAGCAUUAUUGCAGGUAUCUUGAAGGAGAGUUGAGCCCAGCUUUUCAAUUCAUACAGAUCCUUUCUCUGAAGAACCCCUUCCUGAUAUUGUCACUUUAACACAUCUCUGUGGUUUUAUUUUGAAAUUUUUAAAGGUACAGUCAUGUGCCGCAUAAUGACAUUCAGUCAAUGACAGACUGCAUAUAUGAGGUGGUCCUGUAAGGUGAUAAUGGAGCUGAAAAAUUCCUACUACUGAACGACAUCAUAGCCAUUGUAACAUCAUAGCACAACCAAUCACCUUUUCUAUAUUUAGGAGCAAAGGCAAUACAAUGGAGAAGACAGUCUUUUAACAAAGGUGCUGGAAUAACUGGACAGCCAUGCACACACACAGAAAAGAAUCGAGACACAGACUUUACAUCUUCACAAAGGUAAUGCAAAAUGGAUCAUACACCUAAAUGUAAAAUACACAAUUAUGAAACUCCUAGAAGAUAACAUAGGAGAAAAUCUGACAACCUUGGGUUUGGCAAUGACUUUUUAGGUACAACACUGAAGGCACCGCCCAUGAAAGAAACAACUGAUAGGCUGAACUCCAUUAAAAUUAAAAGCUUUUGCUCUGCAAAUACAAGAGAAUGAGAACACAAACCAUAAGGAGUUCAUAUGCUGGAAUGAUAGUGACACAGGAGUUUAACACUCCUACAGUAUCCAGAGCCUGGAUCCCUGAGUCAUCAGAUGGAGAAGAACUACUCAGGAGAGUCAUCCAACCUUCAUAGACAGUGGCAUGAGUGGGAAUUAAACAUUGAUUAUGUUAA